rnacentral:tRNA from 1 species
AGGUCAGCCAACCAGCCGAAUGGCCCUCCGGAGGCGGGUGCGCAGGUUCGAAUCCUGCCGGGG